CUAUACUUAAACUAGUAUUUCCUGUUGGUGAUGAAGAAACACAUCAGAGGCAUAGUUUUAAAGUCAAUAUUUUAAUGAAGAGAGUCGAUUGAUACCAUACCACCGAGUUAUGGUAAUAGGUGCCAGGCGCACCGGUUUGAGUGUGUCAAGAACUGCAACGCUGCUGGGUUUUCCCACAUUCAACAGUUUCCCGUGUGUAUGAAGAAUGGUCCACCACCCAAAGGACAUCCAGCCUUGACACUUGACACCACUGUGGGAAGCAUUGGAGUCAACAUGGGCCAACAUCCCUGUUGAAUCUAGACACAAAUUACAUUUAGAGUUGUGAAUAUUAUUCAUCAGUUCAUCUAACAGAUCAGUCAGGUAGAGCCACGCUCAGACUUGGGAAGGUCCGCUUGAAAUGGAAUUAAAAAUCAAUUCCUUGUAUAAAUGGCUGCCAACCUCUACUGUGAGGAGUCAGAGACAUCUCAGACUUGCAUGCAUUUUGAAUGGUUUCAUAAGUCUCAUAAUAAUUGUUUACACAAUAUACUGACCAUUAUAAAGAAACAACUGGAUCUCUAAGUACAUAUAUUAAAUAUAUAAUAAAUCAUUUAUACACCUACUAUUGUCUAACAAAGUUACUUAUUUUUCAUUUUCUUUACAAAUAUUUACCUUUCAUUUCCCAUUGUCAGUGAUAAGGCAGUACUCAUCUCUAUAUUAUGGGGCUGGUUGUCAUAAGGCAGUACUCCUCUCUAUAUUAUGGGGCUGGUUGUCAUAAGGCAGUACUCCUCUCUACAUUAUGGGGCUGGUUGUCAUAAGGCAGUACUCCUCUCUAUAUUAUGGGGCUGGUUGUCAUAAGGCAGUACUCCUCUCUACAUUAUGGGGCUGGUUGUGAUAAGGCAGAACUCAUCUCUACAUUAUGGGGCUGGUUGUGAUAAGGCAGUACUCAUCUCUAUAUUAUGGGGCUGGUUGUGAUAAGGCAGUACUCAUCUCUAUAUUAUGGGGCUGGUUGUGAUAAGGCAGUACUCACCUCUGCAUUAUGGGGCUGGUUGUGAUAAGGCAGUACUUACCUCUGCAUUAUGGAGCUGGUUGUGAUAAGGCAGUACUCACCUCUAUAUUAUGGGGCUGGUUGUGAUAAGGCAGUACUCAUCUCUAUAUUAUGGGGCUGGUUGUGAGAGAUGGAUGGAGGAAGAGAUGGAAGGAUGGAGGAUGAGAUGGAGGGAUGAGGGAGAGAUGGAGAGAUAUAAAGAGAGGGGGAUUACAGUAAGGUUAAGGAAGCAUGUUGAGAGAUAAAUUUGAUAAAUAUGUCCCUUGAGGUGUGAGGGGGAGAGGGAUGGAAGGAGACAGAAGGAUGCAGAGAGAGAUGACGAGGGACAGAGGGAGAUGACGAGGGACAGAGGGAGAUGACGAGGGACAGAGGGAGAUGACGAGGGACAGAGAGAGAUGACGAGGGACAGAGGGAGAUGACGAGGGACAGAGAGAGAUGACGAGGGACAGAGGGAGAUGACGAGGGACAGAGAGAGAUGACGAGGGACAGAGGGAGAUGACGAGGGAAAGAGAGAGAUGACGAGGGACAGAGAGAGAAGACGAGGGACAGAGGGAGAUGACGAGGGACAGAGGGAGAUGACGAGGGAAAGAUAGAGAUGACGAGGGACAGAGGGAGAUGACGAGGCACAGAGGGAGAUGACGAGGGAAAGAGAGAUAGAGGGAAAGGUGGUAAGAUGUUGCUGGAGGUUUGAAUGGGAGUAAGAGAGAAGAUGGAGGGAGGAAGAGAGAUGACAGAGGGAGGAAUAUGGAGGGAGGAAGGGAGAUGACAGAGGGAGGAAGAUGGAGGGAUGAAAGGAGAUGACAGAGGGAGGAAGAUGGAGGGAUGAAGGGAGAUGACAGAGGGAGGAAGAUGGAGGGAUGAAGGGAGAUGACAGAGGGAGGAAGAUGGAGGGAUGAAGGGAGAUGACAGAGGGAGGAAGAUGGAGGUAUGAAAGGAGAUGACAGAGGGAGGAAGAUGGAGGGAUGAAGGGAGAGACAUCAGGCGUUGUGGGGGCACUAGAGCGUAGUUUCCUGUCAACAAAGUUUAGUCUGAAGACCUUUCUUCGUAUCCUGUUGUAUAUUUUAUUAUAGGGAACACAGUCUAUAUAUCCUGUUGUAUAUUAUAUUAUAGGGAACACAGUCUAUAUAUCCUGUUGUAUAUUAUAUUAUAGAGAACACAGUCUAUAUAUCCUGUUGUAUAUUAUAUUAUAGGGAACACAGUCUAUAUAUCCUGUUGUAUAUUAUAUUAUAGAGAACACAGUCUAUAUAUCCUGUUGUAUAUUUUAUUAUAGGGAACACAGUCUAUAUAUCCUGUUGUAUAUUAUAUUAUAGGGAACACAGUCUAUAUAUCCUGUUGUAUAUUAUAUUAUAGAGAACACAGUCUAUAUAUCCUGUUGUA
rnacentral:lncRNA from 1 species